rnacentral:lncRNA from 10 species
GAUGUGUGGUCUCACUGACUUCAGAAGUGAAGCUGCAGAUCUUCGCCGUGAGUACUACAGCUCUCACAGAUGGAGCAUCCACAGUUGUUCUUCCUGGUGGGUUAGUGGUCUUGCUGGCUUCAGGGGAGAAGCCAGAGACCUUCUUGGUGAGUGUUACAGCUCAUGAAGGCGGCACUUCCAGAGUUAUUCCUUUCUCCUGGUGGGUUCAUGGUCUCACUGGCUUCAAGAGUGAAGCUGCAGACUUUCCCGGUGAGUGUUACAGCUCAUAAAAGUCCAGAGUUGUUCGUUCCUUCUGGUGGGUUCAUGGUCUCACUGGCUUCAGGAGUGAAGCUGCGACCUUCCUGGAGAGUGUUACAGCUUCUAAAAGCAGUGCAGACCCAAAGAGUGACCAGCAACAAGAUUUAUUGCAAAGAGCAAAACAACAACACACUCACAAAGUCCAAACAGCUGUCCCAGGGCGUUCAGGUGGCCUGCUUUUAUUCCCUUAUUUGGCCCCACCCACAUCCUGCUGAUUGGUCCAUUUUACAGAGAGCUGAUUGGCCCAUUUUACAGAGAGCUGAUUGGCCCAUUUUACAGAGUGCUGAUUGGUCCGUUUUUACAGAGUGCUGAUUGGUGCGUUUACAAACCUUUAGCUAGACACAGAGCACUGAUUGGUGCAUUUACAAUCCUUUAGCUAGACAGAAAAGUUCUCCAAGUCCCCACCCCACCCAGAAACCCAGGCGACUUCACCUGUCAAGCUGAGCUGAGCUCUUGAUUUUUCUCCCACUGGAAGGUCAACAUUGUUCGGGAUUCCUCAUCUUGCCGUGGCUCUGAGUUGGCUAAAUGCCAAGGUCAUCUUUCUGUUUGUACUACAGAUACGCUGUAAUUGAUUUUCUGAGCGAACCUCUGCAUGUUCCUACGACAUUUUGUGAUCUUCCAAGUGAACAACCUGACAGUGCCAACAUUUAUACUGAAGUAAAAGAACUCCUGAAAAUUCUCAUAUAAAUGUCAGCAAUAUUGUGGAAGUUUGA